ensembl:snoRNA
AUCCUUUUAUAGUUCAUAAGUGUGAUGAUUGGGUUUUCACACACCUGUGUGACACGGCCUCCCUCCAGCCUUGUUACAUCAGCAUGUCACCCUUCUCCCA